GAUGAACGCUGGCGGCGUGCCUAAUACAUGCAAGUCGAGCGAACAGACGAUGAUCUUGCUCCUUUUACGUUAUCGGCGGACGUGUUAUUAACACGUAUUUAACCUACCUUUAUUACUUGGAUAACUUCGUGAAUCCGUAUCUAAUACCGUAUAAUAUUUCUAACCUCAUGGUUCUAUAGUUAAAUUUGUCUUUGCUAUCUCUUAUAGAUUUUCCUGCGCCGUAUUAUCUAGUUGGUAAGGUAACGGCUUACCAAGGCAACGAUACGUAUCCGACCUGAGAGGGUGAUAGGCCAAACGGGAAGUGAGACACGGAACAGAGUACUACGGGAGGCAGCAGAAGGGAAUAGGACGCAAUGGGCGAAAGCAUGACGGAGCAAAGCCGAGUGAGUGAUGAAGGUCUAAGGAUCGUAAAAAUCUGUUAUUAGGGAAGAAAAAACGUGUAAGUAAAUGUGCACGGAGUGACGGUAACUAAUAAGAAAGCAACGGCUAACUACGUG
rnacentral:rRNA from 1 species